rnacentral:rRNA from 1 species
CCUACGGGUGGCAGCAGUGAGGAAUAUUGGGCAAUGGACGCAAGUCUGAACCAGCAAUGCCGCGUGCAGGAAGACGGCUCUAUGAGUUGUAAACUGCUUUUGUACGAGGGUAAACGCAGAUACGCGUAUCUGUCUGAAAGUAUCGUACGAAUAAGGAUCGGCUAACUCCGUGCCAGCAGCCGCGGCAAUACGGAGGAUUCAAGCGUUAUCCGGAUUUAUUGGGUUUAAAGGGGGCGUAGGCGGUCGGAUAAGGUAGAGGUGAAAUCCCGAGGCUCAACUUCGGAAUUGCCUUUGAUACUGUUAGGCUAGAGAGUAGUUGAGGUAGGCGGAAUGCCUGGUGUAGCGGUGAAAUGCUUAGAGAUCAUACAGAACACCGAUUGCGAAGGCAGCUUACCAAGCUACAUCUGACGUUGAGGCACGAAAGCGUGGGGAGCAAACAGGAUUAGAUACCCCAGUAGUC